GGGGAUGUAGCUCAUCUGGGAGAGCGCUACAAUGGCAUUGUAGAGGUAGAGGGUUCGAUCCCCUUCAUCUCCACCA
rnacentral:tRNA from 1 species